AACUUUAUUAAAUUCAUAUAUUAAAAGGUACUAUUUUUAGGGACAAAAACCUUUGGUCUCUUUGUUCUUUAUUAUGGCUUCUAAAUUCUAAAUGACUGAGACGACGAAGUAAAAGGCAGAAGAAGCUGAGCGAGCGAGGCCGGCCCUUACACUUUCUUCCGUAGAGCAGAAAGUGUGAGAGAACGUAAAUGAUGGAGAAGGAGGCGGAAGAGAAAGGGCAAGACCAGGAGCAGGAGCAGGAACAGGUAGUAAAUCCAUGGCAAGUGUCAGCCAAAAGCGGAGGGAAGAUUGACUAUGACAAGCUCAUCGAUCAGUUCGGCUGCCAGAGGCUGGACCAGUCCCUUAUUGACCGUGUUGAGCGUCUCACCUCACGCCCUCCCCAUGUCUUCCUUCGCCGUGGCGUAUUCUUUGCUCACCGGGACUUCAAUGACAUCCUGGAUGCUUAUGAGAAAGGAGACAAGUUUUAUCUCUACACGGGGAGAGGCCCUUCCUCUGAAGCUUUGCAUUUGGGUCAUCUCAUCCCCUUUAUGUUCACCAAAUAUUUGCAAGAUGCUUUCAAGGUUCCUCUGGUUAUACAAUUAACUGAUGAUGAGAAAUGCAUGUGGAAGAAUAUGUCGGUUGAAGAGAGCCACAGACUUGCUUGGGAAAAUGCUAAAGAUAUUAUUGCUUGCGGUUUUGAUGUAACAAGAACUUUCAUCUUCUCUGAUUUUGAUUACAUGGGCGGUAACUUCUACAAGAACAUUGUAAAGGUUGCAAAGUGUGUCACAUAUAAUAAGGUUGUGGGUAUUUUUGGUUUCACGGGUGAAGAUCACAUUGGAAAAGUAUUUUUUCCUCCUGUUCAGGCAGUUCCAUCUUUUCCUAGUACCUUUCCACAUCUGUUCACUGGUAGAGAUCAUCUUCGCUGCUUGAUUCCUUGUGCUAUUGACCAGGAUCCUUAUUUCAGAAUGACACGAGAUGUUGCUCCUCGGAUUGGAUAUCUUAAGCCUGCAUUGAUUGAGUCAUCAUUCUUUCCUGCCCUGCAGGGAGAGAAUGGCAAAAUGUCUGCUAGCGAUCCUAAUUCUGCAAUAUAUGUGACAGAUUCUGCAAAGGCCAUUAAGAACAAGAUAAAUAAGUAUGCCUUCUCUGGCGGACAAGAUUCUAUUGAGAAACACAGGGAGUUAGGGGCAAAUCUGGAGGUCGAUAUACCAGUCAAGUACCUUAGUUUUUUUCUAGACGAUGAUGCAGAACUUGAACAUAUAAAGAAGGAGUAUGGUGCUGGACGCAUGCUAACAGGUGAGGUGAAACAACGGCUAAUUGAUGUUCUGACAGAAUUGGUCGAAAGACAUCGCAGGGCUAGGGCUGCUGUGACUGAUGAGAUGGUGGCUGCAUUCAUGGCAGUUAGACCACUUCCCAAUAUGUUCAACUAAAGUUUGAAAUAAAACCCAAGAGAUGGGUUGCUAAGGCAUUUCCACUAUGACAAAGAGGAUGAAUCAAAGCCAAUCCACAAUUUGGCCCAAUCACCCACCCCACUCUAAUGCCCCCAUUUGAUUAUAUGCACUCUCGCUACAAGGCUCGGCACCACUGACUUCCGUUUUGCUGCUGUAUUGUACUUGUGACAAGAAGGCAGCAAAGUAGUUUUUAGUUUUCAGAAAUAUAGAAAAAUUGAAAGGCAGAAAGCUGAAGAAAAAUUCAAUCAUGAAACAUGUAAUAAUAUUGAUAAGUUUUAAGGUUAGAAUAAACUAUAAGAUUUUCAUCCUAAGCUUCAUUAAAAUAUGUGAGAGAAUUUACUUUA